CCCUUCUCAGGAUGGCACCUGGAGAGUUUCCAGUACUCUAUGAAUCUCAGCUAUGGGAAGGAGAGUCAAGCAGAGGCCUACCCAUUCCAUUCCUAGCUUGGGCAGUGGCUAGCAAGUGGAAGACAAUCUGCUACCAGU
rnacentral:snoRNA from 1 species